AACACUUCAACUACAGUACAGGUGGACUGCAGAGAAUCAGAAAGGUGAAGCUCUAACACUGAGCAAGGUCACUACCUUGACAGGAAGUCUCUGGAGAGAAAUAGUUAUUAAACCAGGGGUGCUAAUGGACAGCCAAAAAUACACCUCUACACUCAAUGUGUCUGAACCAGCCUCUGGGCUUUGGGGGUCAGCAAGCAUCACCUUAGUCCCCGACCAUCUUCCCUAUGGGGGUUCUUGCACUCUGUCACCGACGACUCGCUUCAUUCCUGGAAACCAUGGUCUCUUGCAGUUGCUCAGGGUGGAUGGAUGAUGACGGUGACUCAGCCCAGCUGAUAUUUUCACUGCAGGUGGCACAGUGUGAAGAUUUUGGACCAUUAUGUCCUUUGAUUACCCUUUACAGAGGCACUCAGAGCACGUUAAGCUACCUGGUGCUACUCGGUAUUGUGAGCACAGUGGAAAACGUAACUGUUAUUCAUGUGCUGGCACUGGUAGAAGACAGUAUGGGGGCAGCAGACAUUGCAGCGAGAAAGAACCUCACAGUGCUGCUGAGUGACCAAUACACAACGGAGUGGUUGAGGAAUAAGAACCAAUCAGAGUUAUGGGUCAUGCACCAACAAGGCAACCCUC